rnacentral:rRNA from 1 species
UUCCAGGAAACUGGGGCUAAUACCGGAUAGGAGCUCCUGCUGCAUGGUGGGGGUUGGGAAAGUUUCGGCGGUUGGGGAUGGACUCGCGGCUUAUCAGCUUGUUGGUGGGGUAGUGGCUUACCAAGGCUUUGACGGGUAGCCGGCCUGAGAGGGUGACCGGCCACAUUGGGACUGAGAUACGGCCCAG